UCUUUAGAGAAAAGUAAUGAGGAUAAACAAGCUCGUCCUGAACAGGCAUAUAUUGGUGGAAUAGCUUAUGGUGGCUAUGCACGAAAGAUUGUUGGAAAAAUUUUGCACAAAAUGCCCACCCAGCAUGGUCAUGCACACGCAUAGAGGACCAUCCGGAUUACCUAACGGAGGCAAUUAAAGCAGCUGACUUUAAUAGGUCCUGUUAAGGGCUCUGCAGAGCUCAGAUUUUGAUGGUAACUAUGAGAUUGGUUGUGAGAUGAGUAUAUAAUUUACAGGCAUGACUGAGUAUGCUUGUCAGAACGGUCGUAUGAUGUGGUGUGCAGAUGUGUAUGAUGUUCUUGCUUAUUGGAAGGGUUGAAGGAAAGCUCGUAUUAGUUCCUUCUAACAGUAGUUGACUAUCAGAUGUCAACUACGAUGAAACCCAGCUUCAAGCUCUC